CUCCCCUCUCUCUCUAGCGCCGCCUCCCUCUCUUUUUCUUUCUUCCGUUCCGACCUGCGAACGACACGACCAAUAGCCCCGGCGAGCCUUUCUCUCCCUUCUCCCCUUCCCUCUUCGUCUCCUCUUUCUCAUUUCCUCUCCUCUGGCGAGAAUGCCGAGAAGCAGCAGCAAGAGCAGCCAGGCGAGACCUACUACGACUAGUCAAGCUGCCACCCAAUGACGCAGCUCCGACAACCACCAACGCAACCAGCCAACCACUAGCGAGAACCAGCAGCAGUCGCAUCUCCGGUGAACGCGACAUCAGUAGCAACAGCUGUCGGCAACAACAACAGCUCAGGCGAGGCUCGAAUUUUUGGGACUUCGUACAAGACGGAUUUUUUCAGAUCCACCCGGGUUUGGUUUCUAGUCAGUUUUAUCAUCUCAGUCUUUUCUUCAUUUUUGAUUAAGUUGAACUGUUUGUCUAAUGCCUGAUUCGAUUUGUUUUAGUAUUACAUGUUGGUUGUUGAUUCUUAGAAAAAAAGCAUAGCUGAGCUGUGAUUUCUCUAUUCGAAAUCCAUGAUUAUUGUUCCCAUUUGCCCGUGUUCGAGUGGAACAUCGUUGAAUUAGUACGCAGAUUUUAGACUCUAAUUCAUGGGUUUUCAUUGUUUUCUUCAUUUAUUUAUUUAUUUAUUGCUACUUCGUGGAUUAUCUUUGACUGAUUUCCUCUCGGCAAAUCAUGAUUUUAUCUCAGUGAAUUAAGAGCCAGUGCUAUCUUUGCUUAAAAUAUUCUUAUGGGUUUCCUUGACUUCUGGAAUUUUGCUAUUAGUCGGAUUGAUUCUAGCAUAAAUAGUGCUUUGAUAUAUGUGGACUCAUAAAUUUGUUUGCAUAAAUAGUGCUAUAUAUGUGGUAGAAUUACUCAUUUACUGUGAUUUAGACUUCCGUAUUUCUAUUAACCUUUAUUGAUUUGCGUAAUCAGUUUGGUGUAAAUUGUUGGACCCCUUUGUCUAUGAUAAGUUUGAAAUUAUGGGUUAAAGCAUGUAUUAUUUUCUUCCUUUUAAAUUUUAGUGCUGAUUUUAUAUUUAUUAAAUUAUAAUGCUGAAAAUUGAUCCCUCCUUCCAUUAAUAUUUGUCUUGACUGAUUCUCACUUAUUUAUUUAUGGCAAUCUAGCAUUAGGUGAAUAUUUAACUAAGGUAAUUAUUGCUUUUAUAUGCUGGCCGGUGCCUACUUUACUAUGGAAACUCCUAAUUAUUUCCUUGUCUUAUUUAUUUGCUCAUAUAUUUGGUAAAUAAUAAAUUAAUAAAUCUGUUUUGGCUCUUUUAAAAUAAGGAAAACAUUAAUUCCCUUCAAUUUUUGUUCCUUAAUUAACUCGUCUUUCAGAGACUAUAAAAGAACCCCCUCUUCAUUAUUUUAAGGACGGGGUAUAUUGGCUUACAUUCUGAAGAAUAUUAAAAUAAUAUAUUGCUCUCUACUCUGAAAAAGAAUUAAGUGCUUUCGGUUUAAAAACUUCAAAGUUCCUCUCUGUUUUGCUGUUUUGCUGUGUUCGGGUCUAAUAGUGGAUUAAGUUUGUCUUCAUUGCUGAUAAAUAUUUCUGCUAUAACUGGUUAGUUGUUCCUCCAUUAGUUUAAUCUUCAUUCCGCAUUAUUUCGAAUAUCGUUGUUUGUUUGAAUGAAUGAAAGGAAGCAUCCAGGUCAAUUUCUUAUCCCUUUCUUUCUCAAUGUGUGAUUAUAUAUCUCCACAACUUGUUUGAAUUCUUACAUGUCCGUAUGCUACUUGUGUGCAUGAAUUAAUUAAUAUUAUGUGCGUACCCAUGUAGUUAGUUUUAUCAUUUUGCUAUAUUAAAUUAUCUUUUUAUGUGUUAUCAUUAUUUGCUCCUAUUUUUCAUUGCACUUUACCAGGGUGUGAACUUAAGGUUCAAGAUGGUUGAAGAGUCAUCUAGAAGAGAUUUUCCGGAUGAGACUAUUAUGUUUAAGUUUAUUUUAAUGGUGUAGAUAUUAUUUAUUUGUUCUGUUGGCUUGUAAUAAUUUUGUAUUACUCUAACGCUCUAACCCUCUAUCAGCUAUGAAACAUAUUUGGGAGAUCGUCUAAAGGGGAGGGGGAUUACAUGCUAAUUGCUUUAUUUUACUUACUUCACUAUUUGUG
rnacentral:lncRNA from 1 species